rfam:Triticum aestivum genome assembly, contig: Triticum_aestivum_CS42_TGACv1_scaffold_292557_4AL
CAAGUACUCCCUCCGUCCUGGAUUACUUGUCAUCAAAAUGGAUGUGUCUAGAACUAAAAUACAUCUAGAUACAUCCAUUUCAAUGACAAGUAUUUUCAGACGGAGGGACUACAAG